rnacentral:rRNA from 1 species
UACGUAGGCAGCGAGCGUUGUUCGGAGUUACUGGGCGUAAAGAGUGUGUAGGCGGUUUUCUAAGUUUGGUGUGAAAUCUCCCGGCUUAACUGGGAGGGUGCGCCGAAAACUGGAAGGCUUGAGUAUGGGAGAGGUAAGCGGAAUUCCUGGUGUAGCGGUGAAAUGCGUAGAUAUCAGGAGGAACACCUGCGGUGUAGACGGCUUACUGGACCAUAACUGACGCUGAGGCACGAAAGCGUGGGUAGCAAACAGG